UGUGGCAUGUGUGUGUGCAUGUGUAUAUAUACGUAUAUAUAUGUAUGUAUACACACACACACACACACAAUGGAAUACUCUCAC
rnacentral:miRNA from 1 species